CGGGCACCGAGCGCCCCGCGGCCGCCAGCCCUGAGGCGGCGCCGCCUGAGGCAGCGCGGGACGGGGCGGCUGUGGGUGGAGCGCGGCCCCGUGGUGGCAUUGCCGCCGUGCCCCCUGGCGCAAAUCGUGACAGGAGGGCACACGCGCGGGUUGCAUGGUGGCCUUCAGUGAGAGAAAUCAGCCCUGCCAUGACUGGGAGAGGGUCUGGUCCACAGGGAAAUCCUAUGGAGAAUACCAGGUGGGCACUGGCAGUGAUGAGAGCUGUGUAUCAUAGAAUCAUAGAAUCACAACGUUGGAAACAACCUUCAAGAUCAUCUAGUCCAACCGCCCUCCCAUUACCACUGCUACCACAAGCACUAAACCAGAUCUCGUAGCUCCUCAUCCAGAUGCCUCCUGAACACUGCCAGGGACGGUGACUCCACCACCUCCCUGUGCAGCCAUUCCAGUGCCUGACCACUCUGAGAGAAAAAGUUCUUCCUUAUGUCUAACCUAAACCUCCUCUGGUACAACUUGUGGCCAUUUCCUUGGGUCCUGUUUGUUGUUUGGGAGAAGAGGCUGAACCCCUCCUCAUCACAAUCUCUCUUCAGGAAGUCGUAGAGUUCAAUGAGGUUUCCUCUGAGUCUCCUCUUCUCCAGGCUAAGCAAUCCCAGCUCCCUCGGCUGCUCCUCAUAAGACCUGUGCUCCAGACCCCUCACCCUCAGGCAUAGAGAGGGAUAAGGAGGGUGUUUUGUCCUGUGUUCCUGCACUGAGAUGACAGAGAGAACCCAAUUUUUACACCAGGAAGAGGUUCCAGUUUCAAUUUUUUUGGUGGUUUUUUUUGUUUGUUUGUUUUAUUUUGUUUUUUGAGGCUUCUGAGGCCAUGUCUUGUGCCUGCUUGGAUGGGAUGCAGCAUGUGUGCUGACAUAGAGGUACAGCAGGUGGAUAUUGCCCAAAGGCAGAUGCAACCAGUUGAUGUACCUGGUGGGUUAUUUACAGAAAUAAACACAAGCUUGAGUGUUAAGGCGACA
rnacentral:lncRNA from 1 species